ACACUUCGAAGACUGCAUGUUUACUAAUAGUCAAAAAAGGCGAUUAAAUCCUGCAGCAAAGCCCACGAUUUUCGACAUUCCAAACAAACCACCAACUGUAGGUCAAAAUUGACGAAUUCUACGAAGGACAACCACCGAUAUUGCCACUAAAGCCAAGAGACAGAAGCUGAUAAGAAAAUCGAAAGCAACUGAAGUUCAAGAAAGUGUUUGUGAUAGCCCCGAUCAAGAAAUAAUGGAAACUGACGAUACAACGAGAAAGCAAGGUGAAUUUUAAGGGCACCAAGAAAAUUUGUCACGAACAAGAACAUUAGAUUUCUGUUGUCAAACCAGCACUAGCCUCACCAACAAUACACCAAGGAAAAAAAAGCAAAAAAUGGUGAUCAGAU